UGAAAAUCAUCUCAGAGUAGGUCCUAGGA
rnacentral:piRNA from 1 species